rnacentral:rRNA from 1 species
UACGAAGGGGGCGAGCGUUGUCCGGAAUUAUUGGGCGUAAAGAGCUCGUAGGCGGUUCGUCGCGUCGGCUGUGAAAACCUGAGGCUCAACCUCAGGCCUGCAGUCGAUACGGGCGGACUUGAGUACUGCAGGGGAGACUGGAAUUCCUGGUGUAGCGGUGAAAUGCGUAGAUAUCAGGAGGAACACCGGUGGCGAAGGCGGCCUGCUGGGCAGUAGCUGACACUGAGGCGCGACAGCGUGGGGGAGCAAACAGG